CCACCACCUCUUCUCAGUCUCACUCACACAAACACAAGCAACACAGCUUAUUAGCAAGGUCCGGAAAAGGGACUUAUUUACUGUGAACCGUCAAAUUAACACGCAUGCAGUACAGAAUUCAACAGGUGGUACGUGGUGCGCCGGAGGCCGGAGCUCCAUCAUCGCCGGCCGGUACGGUACGGUACGGUACGGUCAGCCGAAGAGGUGGUGGUGCUUCUUCUCGCCGCUGGCCUCGUCGGCGUCCUUGUGGUCCUUCUUCUUCUCGUGGUGCUCGUGGAAGGCGUAGCCGCCGGCGCCCACCGCCGCCGCCGCCGCGACCUCCUCCGUGAUCUUGUGCCUGUGCGCGUGCUCGGGGUCCUUCUUCGCCUCGUGCUUCUCGUACUACAAAGAUCGAGUUCGUCAUGGAAGGUCAGCACGAAUAACAAACGAAUAGAAGUUAGAUCUGCGUGGACGACGACGACGUACAAGUGCGAAGGCGCCGGCGGCGAUGGCGCCGGCCUCGCCGAGGUGCUGCUUGUGCUUGUGCUCCUUCUCCUCCUUCUUGUACUUCUCGUACUCGUCCUCGCCGGUGGUCACCACCUCGGCGGCCACCGUCUCGGAGUACCCGUACUCGCCGGUGGGCUGCUCCUCGCCGUCCUUCUUGUGG
rnacentral:lncRNA from 1 species